AAAGUAUGGUGAGGAUAUUUCUUUGGCAUUUCCUUAAAUCUCUCCCAACUCUCAUAAAUGAAUUCUCCUUUAAAAUGGGUAAAAGAAGUGAUAACAUUUAUGUUGU